rnacentral:rRNA from 1 species
AUUGAACGCUGGCGGCAGGCCUAACACAUGCAAGUCGAACGGUAACAGGAAGCAGCUUGCUGCUUCGCUGACGAGUGGCGGACGGGUGAGUAAUGUCUGGGAAGCUGCCUGAUGGAGGGGGAUAACUACUGGAAACGGUAGCUAAUACCGCAUAAUGUCGCAAGACCAAAGAGGGGGACCUUCGGGCCUCUUGCCAUCGGAUGUGCCCAGAUGGGAUUAGCUUGUUGGUGGGGUAACGGCACACCAAGGCGACGAUCCCUAGCUGGUCUGAGAGGAUGACCAGCCACCCUGGAACUGAGACACGGUCCAGACUCCUACGGGAGGCAGCAGUGGGGAAUAUUGCACAAUGGGCGCAAGCCUGAUGCAGCCAUGCCGCGUGUAUGAAGAAGGCCUUCGGGUUGUAAAGUACUUUCAGCGGGGAGGAAGGGAGUAAAGUUAAUACCUUUGCUCAUUGACGUUACCCGCAGAAGAAGCACCGGCUAACUCCGUG